rnacentral:rRNA from 1 species
CAACUUGCCUGCAUGAAGUCGGAAUUGCUAGUAAUCGCGGAUCAGCAUGCCGCGGUGAAUACGUUCUCGGGCCUUGUACACACCGCCCGUCACACCAUGGGAGUCGGUAACACCCGAAGUCUGUAGCCUGACGCAAGAGGGCGCAGCCGAAGGUGGGAUUGAUGACUGGGGUGAAGUCGUAACAAGGUAGC